rnacentral:rRNA from 1 species
CAGUAGCCGCGGUAAUACGUAGGGUGCGAGCGUUAAUCGGAAUUACUGGGCGUAAAGCGUGCGCAGGCGGUUGUGUAAGACAGGUGUGAAAUCCCCGGGCUUAACCUGGGAACUGCGCUUGUGACUGCACAGCUAGAGUAUGGCAGAGGGGGGUGGAAUUCCACGUGUAGCAGUGAAAUGCGUAGAGAUGGGGAGGAACACCGAUGGCGAAGGCAGCCCCCUGGGCCAAUACUGACGCUCAUGCACGAAAGCGUGGGGAGCAAACAGGAUUAGAUACCCGUGUAGUCCCUGUCCCUUAUAA